rnacentral:lncRNA from 1 species
CUGACGGCUCUCCAGCCUUUUCUUUUAAACUGAAGAGAGACGAGGCGAAGCGGCAGCGGUGGUUCUUCUCCUCCGGCUCGCCGGGUUUAGGCUUCUCUAACUGAACGGACUUUCCAGAGCGCUGUUCUGCCGGAGGACUCGCCCUGACGGCGGCAGCGGCGGGCGUCGCGUGCGCAAACGACGGUUGAGGUUAGCGGGCCAGAAAGAGCAGGAGAGAAAAAGAAGGACAUGAAUGCUAUUUCUGAAAAACAUUUGAGCUCUGUACUUUUGACACCAUGUGAUGAAACUAAAAAGAAGAACCUCUGAUAAAGUCACUGCGGUAUGAAUGGGAUGUCUCAGUUGCUAUAAUUUGGAAAUGGUUGGCUGGUCUAAUUCCACCAGGACAUCAGACCUGCAGCUAAAGAGAACAGCAGCGCAGUGAAUGCUGUCACUUGGAUUUAGGCCAGAUCUUUAGAUCUUCAGCCAACUCUCCUGCUCUGAGCCACAAAUACAUAGGCCAGUGGUUGACAUCUCUCCAGCACCUUUGGAGGCGUUUCAAAGCCACUGACUUCAGCUGUAUUUUCAGAGAGAACAUCUCGGUGCUCUCAGAUUUUGGUGGCUGUGGU